AUGUUAACUUUUUCUAAGAUCAGACAGGAGGCUGGAACUGUGAAUCAAGGUGUGUUUAUUCAUCUAGAUCUUCGCUUUCACGAGGAUUUUAUGACAGUAGUAUCAAGUACAACCAGAAUGUUCUCUGCAGUCCAUUGUUUACAUAUAGCCUUCUUUACGAUACUUUUUCAGGGAAAGACAGUACAUCUCAGAGCACAGAACUAGCUUGGGAGAUCUCUCGAGUUUGACUGCAUUGUCUGGGGUGAUAAACUCAAGGCAAAAUGAAGAUUUAAGCUAUUCCUCACAUAUCCCAUGGCAGUGCUGUAACUGCCAUACUCUACAGUCUUCAAAAUCAUUUGUCACCCUUCCAUAUUGCAGCAGUGUUGGAAAGGGCUUGGCUUUGCCUCCCAAGACUUGUGACACUACAGAGCCCCGCACGUUUUGCACCACAGAGCUGCUGUUCUUCACUCAGUGCUGGUAACAAGUUCCUGGUGUUGACUUUGGUGUUUUACAUCAACUGCAUUGUGACUGGUGGCAAAGCGUCAAUGGGGGGAUUUGAAAGGAGCGGUGGGAAGGGAUUUAAGUGCAGCACACUGGAGGAGCAGGUAUGCUUGGUUGCUGGUGGCAGAACAGUGGGGCACUGGGGUAGAAUGGAAAGGAAAGGGGAUGGAGGAAAUGAGAGGGUCUAAUUGGGGAUUCAGUAACUUCUCUAAAACCUUGGGUAAAUUUUGUGUUUUCCUUUUUGGUUGCUGAUGUCUGAUGUCCGUAUUAGUUUCUAGUGCACGACAACAAUGUGUUUUUUAAUUUUCCUUUCAAUGUUUCAUUUUGCAUUAUAAUAAUACAUUUUAAAUAAUAUAAUAAAAGAAUAGUACUUUUUUUUUUUUUUUUUUUU
rnacentral:lncRNA from 1 species